rnacentral:rRNA from 1 species
GACGAACGCUGGCGGCGUGCUUAACACAUGCAAGUCGAGCGGUAAGGCCUUUCGGGGUACACGAGCGGCGAACGGGUGAGUAACACGUGGGUGAUCUGCCCUGCACUUCGGGAUAAGCCUGGGAAACUGGGUCUAAUACCGGAUAUGACCUCCUAUCGCAUGGUGGGUGGUGGAAAGAUUUAUCGGUGCAGGAUGGGCCCGCGGCCUAUCAGCUUGUUGGUGGGGUAAUGGCCUACCAAGGCGACGACGGGUAGCCGACCUGAGAGGGUGACCGGCCACACUGGGACUGAGACACGGCCCAGACUCCUACGGGAGGCAGCAGUGGGGAAUAUUGCACAAUGGGCGAAAGCCUGAUGCAGCGACGCCGCGUGAGGGAUGACGGCCUUCGGGUUGUAAACCUCUUUCAGCAGGGACGAAGCGCAAGUGACGGUACCUGCAGAAGAAGCACCGGCUAACUACGUGCCAGCAGCCGCGGUAAUACGUAGGGUGCAAGCGUUGUCCGGAAUUACUGGGCGUAAAGAGUUCGUAGGCGGUUUGUCGCGUCGUUUGUGAAAACCAGCAGCUCAACUGCUGGCUUGCAGGCGAUACGGGCAGACUUGAGUACUGCAGGGGAGACUGGAAUUCCUGGUGUAGCGGUGAAAUGCGCAGAUAUCAGGAGGAACACCGGUGGCGAAGGCGGGUCUCUGGGCAGUAACUGACGCUG